rnacentral:rRNA from 1 species
GACGAACGCUGGCGGCGUGCUUAACACAUGCGAGUCGAACGGAAAGGCCCUGCUUUUGUGGGGUGCUCGAGUGGCGAACGGGUGAGUAACACGUGAGUAACCUGCCCUUGACUUUGGGAUAACUUCAGGAAACUGGGGCUAAUACCGGAUAGGAGCUCCUGCUGCAUGGUGGGGGUUGGAAAGUUUCGGCGGUUGGGGAUGGACUCGCGGCUUAUCAGCUUGUUGGUGGGGUAGUGGCUUACCAAGGCUUUGACGGGUAGCCGGCCUGCGAGGGUGACCGGCCACAUUGGGACUGAGAUACGGCCCAGACUCCUACGGGAGGCAGCAGUGGGGAAUAUUGCACAAUGGGCGGAAGCCUGAUGCAGCAACGCCGCGUGCGGGAUGACGGCCUUCGGGUUGUAAACCGCUUUCGCCUGUGACGAAGCGUGAGUGACGGUAAUGGGUAAAGAAGCACCGGCUAACUACGUG